rnacentral:rRNA from 1 species
UCCAGACUCCUACGGGAGGCAGCAGUGGGGAAUAUUGCACAAUGGGGGAAACCCUGAUGCAGCGACGCCGCGUGAGUGAAGAAGUAUUUCGGUAUGUAAAGCUCUAUCAGCAGGAACGAGACAAGACGGCACCUGACUAAGAAGCCCCGGCUAACUACGUGCCAGCAGCCGCGGUAAUACGUAGGGGGCAAGCGUUAUCCGGAUUUACUGGGUGUAAAGGGAGCGUAGACGGCUGUGCAAGCCAGAUGUGAAAGCCCGGGGCUCAACCCCGGGACUGCAUUUGGAACUGUGUGGCUGGAGUGUCGGAGAGGCAGGCGGAAUUCCUAGUGUAGUGGUGAAAUGCGUAGAUAUUAGGAGGAACACCAGUGGCGAAGGCGGCCUGCUGGACGAUGACUGACGUUGAGGCUCGAAAGCGUGGGGAGCAAACAGGAUUAGAUACCCCUGUAAC